UUAAUUCUUGCUUUUGUUCAGACAAACGCUUUGCUGCAUAAACGCGGCGCCGAAGCGCCGAAGCACGUCUUGCUUCCACGGGUUUACAAGGUUGAAGGCCGAGGCCGUUCACUAAUGAUCCCUCCGCAGGUUCACCUACGGAAA
rnacentral:misc_RNA from 1 species